rnacentral:ncRNA from 1 species
GUAAACCAUUUAAGAUGGUUUUUAAAAGGGAAACAGGUGAAAAUCCUGUGCAAUGCCGUUGCUGUAAGGGUGAAUGCCCGGCAAAUAUGUCACUGAGAAAUUGGGAAGACUGCCGGGUGUGAUGAUACCUGAGCCAGAAGACCUGCUUGAUUC